UACAGAGGUGGCAAGCGUUGUUCGGAAUUAUUGGGCGUAAAGAGCUCGUAGGCGGUCUGUCGCGUCUGCUGUGAAAACCCGAGGCUCAACCUCGGGCCUGCAGUGGGUACGGGCAGACUAGAGUGCGGUAGGGGAGAAUGGAAUUCCUGGUGUAGCGGUGGAAUGCGCAGAUAUCAGGAGGAACACCGAUGGCGAAGGCAGUUCUCUGGGCCGUAACUGACGCUGAGGAGCGAAAGCGUGGGGAGCGAACAGG
rnacentral:rRNA from 1 species